rnacentral:rRNA from 1 species
UGGGGAAUUUUGGACAAUGGGGGAAACCCUGAUCCAGCCAUCCCGCGUGUGCGAUGAAGGCCUUCGGGUUGUAAAGCACUUUUGGCAGGAAAGAAACGUCAUGGGUUAAUACCCCGUGAAACUGACGGUACCUGCAGAAUAAGCACCGGCUAACUACGUGCCAGCAGCCGCGGUAAUACGUAGGGUGCAAGCGUUAAUCGGAAUUACUGGGCGUAAAGCGUGCGCAGGCGGUUCGGAAAGAAAGAUGUGAAAUCCCAGAGCUCAACUUUGGAACUGCAUUUUUAACUAACGGGCUAGUGUGUGUCAGAGGGAGGUGGGAUUCCGCGUGUAGCAGUGAAAUGCGUAGAUAUGCGGAGGAACACCGAUGGCGAAGGCAGCCUCCUGGGAUAACAAUGAAACUCAUGCACGAAAGCGUGGGGAGCAAACAGG